GACGAACGCUGGCGGCGUGCUUAACACAUGCAAGUCGAACGGAAAGGCCCUGCUUUUGUGGGGUGCUCGAGUGGCGAACGGGUGAGUAACACGUGAGUACCUGCCCUUGACUUUGGGAUAACUUCAGGAAACUGGGGCUAAUACCGGAUAGGAGCUCCUGCUUCAUGGUGGGGGUUGGAAAGUUUCGGCGGUUGGGGAUGGACUCGCGGCUUAUCAGCUUGUUGGUGGGGUAGUGGCUUACCAAGGCUUUGACGGGUAGCUGGCCUGAGAGGGUGACCGGCCACAUUGGGACUGAGAUACGGCCCAGACUCCUACGGGAGGCAGCAGUGGGGGAUAUUGCACAAUGGGCGGAAGCCUGAUGCAGCAACGCCGCGUGCGGGAUGACGGCCUUCGGGUUGUAAACCGCUUUCGCCUGUGACGAAGCGUGAGUGACGGUAAUGGGUAAAGAAGCACCGGCUAACUACGUG
rnacentral:rRNA from 1 species